ACUGAACACAGUCCUCAAGUUAUCAGUCUUUCCCUGUCUUACUGCCAGACACACCCUUCAGACACUUCCCCGUGUUACUGCCUGACACACCCUUCAGACACUUCCCCGUGUUACUGCCUGACACACCCUUCAGACACUUCCCCGUGUUACUGCCUGACGCACCCUUCAGACACUUCCCCGUGUUACUGCCUGACGCACCCUUCAGACACUUCCCCGUGUUACUGCCUGACGCACCCUUCAGACACUUCCCCGUGUUACUGCCUGACGCACCCUUCAGACACUUCCCCGUGUUACUGCCUGACGCACCCUUCAGACACUUCCCCGUGUUACUGCCUGACGCACCCUUCAGACACUUCCCCGUGUUACUGCCUGACGCACCCUUCAGACACUUCCCCGUGUUACUGCCUGACGCACCCUUCAGACACUUCCCCGUGUUACUGCCUGACGCACCCUUCAGACACUUCCCCGUGUUACUGCCUGACACACCCUUCAGACACUUCCCCGUGUUACUGCCUGACACACCCUUCAGACACUUCCCCGUGUUACUGCCUGACUCACCCUUCAGACACUUCCCCGUGUUACUGCCAGACGCACCCUUCAGACACUUCCCCGUGUUACUGCCUGACGCACCCUUCAGACACUUCCCCGUGUUACUGCCUGACACACCCUUCAGACACUUCCCCGUGUUACUGCCUGACACACCCUUCAGACACUUCCCCGUGUUACUGCCUGACUCACCCUUCAGACACUUCCCCGUGUUACUGCCUGACUCACCCUUCAGACACUUCCCCGUGUUACUGCCUGACGCACCCUUCAGACACUUCCCCGUGUUACUGCCUGACGCACCCUUCAGACACUUCCCCGUGUUACUGCCUGACACACCCUUCAGACACUUCCCCUUGUUACUGCCUGACACACCCUUCAGACACUUCCCCGUGUUACUGCCUGACACACCCUUCAGACACUUCCCCGUGUUACUGCCUGACGCACCCUUCAGACACUUCCCCGUGUUACUGCCUGACUCACCCUUCAGACACUUCCCCGUGUUACUGCCUGACGCACCCUUCAGACACUUCCCCGUGUUACUGCCUGACACACCCUUCAGACACUUCCCCGUGUUACUGCCUGACUCACCCUUCAGACACUUCCCCGUGUUACUGCCUGACACACCCUUCAGACACUUCCCCGUGUUACUGCCUGACUCACCCUUCAGACACUUCCCCGUGUUACUGCCUGACACACCCUUCAGACACUUCCCCGUGUUACUGCCUGACACACCCUUCAGACACUUCCCCGUGUUACUGCCUGACACACCCUUCAGACACUUCCCCGUGUUACUGCCUGACUCACCCUUCAGACACUUCCCCGUGUUACUGCCAGACGCACCCUUCAGACACUUCCCCGUGUUACUGCCAGACGCACCCUUCAGACACUUCCCCGUGUUACUGCCUGACACACCCUUCAGACACUUCCCCGUGUUACUGCCUGACACACCCUUCAGACACUUCCCCGUGUUACUGCCUGACACACCCUNNNNNNNNNNNNNNNNNNNNNNNNNNNNNNNNNNNNNNNNNNNNNNNNNNGGAUGGUAUGGUUAAUAUAGCACUGUGCCAUGCCAGGGGAUGGUCUGGUUAA
rnacentral:lncRNA from 8 species